GUCGUGGAAGAUCAUUCAGUCGAGUUACUUGCGCAUCUCCAGUUGUACGUGAAGCGGUAUCGGCGUCUUCUUCUUCGGGUUAUCUGCAAACGCUUCGGCAAACAAAAACAAUUCAAGAUGCGUAACUUUAUUUGGGGUUUAGUGAUUAUAUUGUUGUGUAUGGGGGUAUAUUCAUUGCCACAACAACAACACCCGAUACAGCAACCACAAACAAAUUAUAACAUCAGUUCCGGGGAUUUACCACACUACGUUGCUCAUUUUUUUUUUACUUUGGAACCCAAAUGUGAGCCUGGCUAUGUUGUUGUUAGUCAUCGUUGCCACAAACAGGUUUAGUUUAAUGAAGAUCUUUAUUUUGACUCUUGCUUUUUCCGCCUUUACUAUUUGUCUAUAAUGUAAUAAAAAAAACCGUUAUGUUAAACAAUUUACGUCUAGAUAUAUAUGCUUAUAAAAAUAUAUUUGUGUGUGUUUAUUUUGGUUCUCAAAUUACAUUUGGGUGCUCUUGAGUGCGCUAACUUACAUAUGUACAUACAUACAUAUAUCACCUGAGCCGAGCCGAGCGCAAAUGUAUUCUCAUAUGUAAAUGUGUAUAUAACCAGCAACAAUUAAGUUUUAUAACAUACAAUUUGUAUACAAACUUAUCUCAGAAUAAUGUGCGAAUGUCUUUUGUAACUACUUUAACGCUUAAACGAAUUGCAAUAAAAAGUGAAAUCACUGUAAAAA